CUCAAGUAGACUUAAAGGACCCCGUGGCCUUAAAGGACCCCGUGGCAGGGAAGUCUCAAGUGAACCUAAGGGACCCCGUGGCCUGUUUGGAAAUCUUUAUUGUGACAAACGGCCUUGCAACGGAGAAGGAGACAAUGGCCCAUGCGACUAUCCUACAUGCGAGUGUGUGCGAAGAGGUGAUGGCUUCUACUGCAGCUCUGUAAUUUAUUACUAAUAUCCUUAUUAAAAUCUAACGCCAGACA